GAUGAACGCUGGCGGCGUGCCUAAUACAUGCAAGUCGAGCGAAUGGAUUAAGAGCUUGCUCUUAUGAAGUUAGCGGCGGACGGGUGAGUAAUACGUGGGUAACCCGCCCAUAAGACUGGGAUAACUCCGGGAAACCGGGGCUAAUACCGGAUAACACUUUGAACCGCAUGGUUCGAAAUUGAAAGGCGGCUUCGGCUGUCACUUAUGGAUGGACCCGCGUCGCAUUAGCUAGUUGGUGAGGUAACGGCUCACCAAGGCAACGAUGCGUAGCCGACCUGAGAGGGUGAUCGGCCACACUGGGACUGAGACACGGCCCAGACUCCUACGGGAGGCAGCAGUAGGGAAUCUUCCGCAAUGGACGAAAGUCUGACGGAGCAACACCGCGUGAGUGAUGAAGGCUUUCGGGUCGUAAAACUCUGUUGUUAGGGAAGAACAAGUGCUAGUUGAAUAAGCUGACACCUUGACGGUACCUAACCAGAAAGCCACGGCUAACUACGUGCCAGCAGCCGCCGCGG
rnacentral:rRNA from 1 species